rnacentral:rRNA from 1 species
UACGUAGGGGGCGAGCGUUGUCCGGAUUUAUUGGGCGUAAAGAGCUCGUAGGCGGUUCGAUAAGUCGGACGUGAAAUCUCCACGCUCAACGUGGAGGGGCCGUUCGAUACUGUCGUGACUCGAGUCCGGUAGGGGAGUGUGGAAUUCCCGGUGUAGCGGUGAAAUGCGCAGAGAUCGGGAGGAACAUCAGUGGCGAAGGCGGCCAUCUGGGACAACACUGACGCUGAAGCACGAAAGCGUGGGGAGCAAACAGG